CUCACCCGUCCUCUCUUCGUCUCUCAUAAACACCGCGAUUGAAAAUUCGGGCCGUCACGUUGUUUUGUCUAGCAACCCGUCCUCUCUUCGUCUCUCAUAAACGAAACCCUAGAUUUCCCAUCUGCGUGCGGCGGCGAGCGGCGAGCGGCAGCGAGGAGCGAGCGGCGGCGAUAGGCGAGAGGUGACAACGAGUGACGGCGAGCGGCGUCGUUUCAUCAAAAGUGACGACGAGUGACGCCGAGCGACGAGCGGCGACAAACGGCGAGCUCGAUCAAUUCUGCUAUCUCAGACAAGAAAAUCGCCACAAUAUCAUCUGAUGGCUUUUGGGAAGAAGAAGAAAGUUUCAACUGCACAUUUAGUCAACUCAAAGUUGUGGAGGUGACUGACUUCAGCGGCAUCACAUCUGAACUUAAGCUCAUCGAGUUUGUGCUUGCUAAUUCACCUGUUCUUGGCUUUUGUGAAGGAGCAGAAGUUUGUUACUGUUGUAAUUUUUUUUGUGUAAAUAAUAUUGUCUGUAAUUAGUUCUUGUGUUUGAACACCUUAGUGCAUGUAAUUUUUUUGUUGAGGCCACACUUUUACAAAAAUUUGUUCAUGUUAUAAUUGCUAUAGCUGAACAGGGAAAUUGCUAUCUGUUACUGAUAAAACUAUGUCUAGAGAGGUGUGCUUUAAUGAA